rnacentral:rRNA from 1 species
GACGAACGCUGGCGGCGUGCUUAACACAUGCAAGUCGAACGGAAAGGCCCUGCUUUUGUGGGGUGCUCGAGUGGCGAACGGGUGAGUAACACGUGAGUAACCUGCCCUUGACUUUGGGAUAACUUCAGGAAACUGGGGCUAAUACCGGAUAGGAGCUCCUGCUGCAUGGUGGGGGUUGGAAAGUUUCGGCGGUUGGGGAUGGACUCGCGGCUUAUCAGCUUGUUGGUGGGGUAGUGGCUUACCAAGGAUUUGACGGGUAGCCGGCCUGAGAGGGUGACCGGCCACAUUGGGACUGAGAUACGGCCCAGACUCCUACGGGAGGCAGCAGUGGGGAAUAUUGCACAAUGGGCGGAAGCCUGAUGCAGCAACGCCGCGUGCGGGAUGACGGCCUUCGGGUUGUAAACCGCUUUCGCCUGUGACGAAGCGUGAGUGACGGUAAUGGGUAAAGAAGCACCGGCUAACUACGUGCCAGCAGCCGCGGUGAUACGUAGGGUGCGAGCGUUGUCCGGAUUUAUUGGGCGUAAAGGGCUCGUAGGUGGUUGAUCGCGUCGGAAGUGUAAUCUUGGGGCUUAACCCUGAGCGUGCUUUCGAUACGGGUUGACUUGAGGAAGGUAGGGGAGAAUGGAAUUCCUGGUGGAGCGGUGGAAUGCGCAGAUAUCAGGAGGAACACCAGUGGCGAAGGCGGUUCUCUGGGCCUUUCCUGACGCUGAGGAGCGAAAGCGUGGGGAGCGAACAGGCUUAGAUACCCUGGUAGUCCACGCUGUAAACGGUGGGUACUAGGUGUGGGGUCCAUUCCACGGGUUCCGUGCCGUAGCUAACGCUUUAAGUACCCCGCCUGGGGAGUACGGCCGCAAGGCUAAAACUCAAAGGAAUUGACGGGGCCCCGCACAAGCGGCGGAGCAUGCGGAUUAAUUCGAUGCAACGCGUAGAACCUUACCUGGGUUUGACAUGGAUCGGGAGCGCUCAGAGAUGGGUGUGCCUCUUUUGGGGUCGGUUCACAGGUGGUGCAUGGCUGUCGUCAGCUCGUGUCGUGAGAUGUUGGGUUAAGUCCCGCAACGAGCGCAACCCUUGUUCACUGUUGCCAGCACGUUAUGGUGGGGACUCAGUGGAGACCGCCGGGGUCAACUCGGAGGAAGGUGGGGAUGACGUCAAGUCAUCAUGCCCCUUAUGUCCAGGGCUUCACGCAUGCUACAAUGGCUGGUACAGAGAGUGGCGAGCCUGUGAGGGUGAGCGAAUCUCGGAAAGCCGGUCUCAGUUCGGAUUGGGGUCUGCAACUCGACCUCAUGAAGUCGGAGUCGCUAGUAAUCGCAGAUCAGCAACGCUGCGGUGAAUACGUUCCCGGGGCU